GACGUAGGGUGCGAGCGUUGUCCGGAUUUAUUGGGCGUAAAGAGCUCGUAGGCGGCUCGUCGCGUCGACCGUGAAAACCCGCGGCUUAACUGCGGGCUUGCGGUUGAUACGGGCGGGCUAGAGUUCGGUAGGGGAGACUGGAAUUCCUGGUGUAGCGGUGAAAUGCGCAGAUAUCAGGAGGAACACCGGUGGCGAAGGCGGGUCACUGGUCCGGUACUGACGCUGAGGUGCGAAAGCGUGGGGAGCAAACAGG
rnacentral:rRNA from 1 species